rnacentral:misc_RNA from 1 species
GAUGAAGAACGUAGCGAAAUGCGAUAAGUAAUGUGAAUUGCAGAAUUCAGUGAAUCAUCGAAUCUUUGAACGCACAUUGCGCCCUCUGGUAUUCCGGGGGGCAUGCCUGUUCGAGCGUCAUUAUAACCACUCAAGCUCUCGCUUGGUAUUGGGGUUCGCGGUUUCGCGGCCCCUAAAAUCAGUGGCGGUGCCUGUCGGCUCUACGCGUAGUAAUACUUCUCGCGAUUGAGUUCGAUAGGUCUACUUGCCAGUAACCCCCAAUUUUUACAGGUUGACCUCGGAUCAGGUAGGGAUACCCGCUGAACUUAAGCAUAUCAAUAAGCGGAGGG